rnacentral:rRNA from 1 species
UACGUGGGGACCAAGCGUUGUUCGGAUUUACUGGGCGUAAAGGGCGCGUAGGCGGCGCGGUAAGUCACUUGUGAAAUCUCUGAGCUUAACUCAGAACGGCCAAGUGAUACUGCAGUGCUAGAGUGUGGAAGGGGCAAUCGGAAUUCUUGGUGUAGCGGUGAAAUGCGUAGAUAUCAAGAGGAACACCUGAGGUGAAGGCGGGUUGCUGGGCCAACACUGACGCUGAUGCGCGAAAGCCAGGGGAGCAAACGGG